rnacentral:rRNA from 1 species
UACGGGGGGGGCAAGCGUUGUUCGGAAUUACUGGGCGUAGAGGGCUCGUAGGCGGCCAACUAAGUCGGAUGUGAAAUCCCCAGGCUUAACCUGGGAACUGCAUCCGAUACUGGAUGGCUUGAAUCCGGGAGAGGGAUGCGGAAUUCCAGGUGUAGCGGUGAAAUGCGUAGAUAUCUGGAGGAACACCGGUGGCGAAGGCGGCAUCCUGGACCGGCAUUGACGCUGAGGAGCGAAAGCCAGGGGAGCAAACGGG